UAAUUGCACUGUUCGAUGCAUAGUUAAGAAAUUCCAUAGAAUUUUUUUUUGAGAGAUAGGUAGCAUGCUACCCCCUUCGCUUAUUUCAUUUAGAAAUAAAUUUAGCUAGAAAUGUGAAUUAACUAGGAUUGGAGCUUGGAUUUCGGGUACCAACUACCAAUUAAGCCAUUUGCCACUUGCUCUAGGGACAGUCGGUAAUUCCAUAGAAAUUAGAAAUUAGAAAUUUAAAAUUUAAAAUUUAAAAUUUAAACAUUUAAACAUUUGAACAUUUGAAUUUGAAUUU
rnacentral:lncRNA from 1 species